UGCUCAUUUAGCACCUGGGUUACAUUACCGUGGGGGCAGUUUGUGACAACCUUUAAGUCACGUGGAUUAACUUUCAGAGGUUAGCUGGUGCAACGCUGCUGGUGUUUGCCAACAAACAGGAUUUACCAGGAGCGUUGUCCAAAGAAGCCAUCAAAGAGGCCCUGGCCCUGGAUGAGAUCAAGAAC